UAUAUAUAUAUAUAUAUAUAUAUAUAUAUAUAUAUAUAUAGAUAUCAUGUAUAUAUGGUGUGAAUUUGUCUUCCACGAUUUGGAUAGUGUUGAGGAUUCGAGAGGUGAUAUAUAAUUCUGAUCAUUCUCUCUUUGCAUGCAAGCCUUUGUAAAACCAUUGCUUUAAGAUAUUGUUAUAUAAUAUUGACCAAUUAUAUUCA